CUCAUUUCUAGUUUAUGGUUAGAAUAUUAGUUUGUCGUACUAGGGGAGAUUUUUUUGGAUCGAAAUGGGU
rnacentral:tRNA from 1 species